rnacentral:rRNA from 1 species
GACGAACGCUGGCGGCGUGCCUAAUACAUGCAAGUAGAACGCUGAAGGAGGAGCUUGCUUCUCUGGAUGAGUUGUGAACGGGUGAGUAACGCGUAGGUAACCUGCCUGGUAGCGGGGGAUAACUAUUGGAAACGAUAGCUAAUACCGCAUAAGAGUAGAUGUUGCAUGACAUUUGCUUAAAAGGUGCAAUUGCAUCACUACCAGAUGGACCUGCGUUGUAUUAGCUAGUUGGUGGGGUAACGGCUCACCAAGGCGACGAUACAUAGCCGACCUGAGAGGGUGAUCGGCCACACUGGGACUGAGACACGGCCCAGACUCCUACGGGAGGCAGCAGUAGGGAAUCUUCGGCAAUGGACGGAAGUCUGACCGAGCAACGCCGCGUGAGUGAAGAAGGUUUUCGGAUCGUAAAGCUCUGUUGUAAGAGAAGAACGAGUGUGAGAGUGGAAAGUUCACACUGUGACGGUAUCUUACCAGAAAGGGACGGCUAACUACGUG